GCGUCAAUGGUCUAGUGGUUAGGAUUCAACCCUUCCAUCAAGGAAGAGCCAAGGUUGAGGGGGGGGUUCGAUUCCCUCUUGACGCA